GCUUGGCUGGCUCAGUUGGUGGAGCAUGUGACUCUUGAUCUCAGGGUUGUGGGUUCGAGCCCCAUGUUGGGUG
rnacentral:tRNA from 1 species